rnacentral:rRNA from 1 species
AUUGAACGCUGGCGGCAGGCCUAACACAUGCAAGUCGAGCGGAUGAGUGGAGCUUGCUCCAUGAUUCAGCGGCGGACGGGUGAGAAUGCCUAGGAAUCUGCCUGGUAGUGGGGGACAACGUUUCGAAAGGAACGCUAAUACCGCAUACGUCCUACGGGAGAAAGCAGGGGACCUUCGGGCCUUGCGCUCUCAGAUGAGCCUAGGUCGGAUUAGCUAGUUGGUGAGGUAAAGGCUCACCAAGGCGGCGAUCCGUAACUGGUCUGAGAGGAUGAUCAGUCACACUGGAACUGAGACACGGUCCAGACUCCUACGGGAGGCAGCAGUGGGGAAUAUUGGACAAUGGGCGAAAGCCUGAUCCAGCCAUGCCGCGUGUGUGAAGAAGGUCUUCGGAUUGUAAAGCACUUUAAGUUGGGAAGAAGGGCAGUAAGUUAAUACCUUGCUGUUUUGACGUUACCGACAGAAUAAGCACCGGCUAACUUCGUGCCAGCAGCCGCGGUAAGAC